rnacentral:rRNA from 1 species
UACGAGGGGUGCAAGCGUUGCUCGGAAUUAUUGGGCGUAAAGGGUAGGUAGGUGGUCUCAUUUGUCCGGGGUGAAAGCCUUGAGCUUAACUCAAGAAGUGCCUCGGAAACGGUGAGACUGGAGUCCUGGAGAGGGGCGUGGAAUUCCGGGUGUAGUGGUGAAAUGCGUAGAGAUCCGGAGGAACCCCAGAGGCGGAGGCGGCGCCCUGGCUCGCAACUGACGCUCAGACACGACAGCAUGGGGAGCGAACGGG